GAUGAACGCUGGCGGCGUGCCUAAUACAUGCAAGUCGAGCGAACAGACGAGGAGAUUGCUCCUCUGACGUUAGCGGCGGACGGGCGAGUAACAAGUGGAUAACAAUCUUAUAAGACUGGGAUAACUACGGGAAAAAGGAGCUAAUAACAGAUAAUACAUCCAACCGCUUGGAUCAAUAGUGCAAGACAGUUUUGCUGUCACUUAUAGAUGAACCCGGGCCGCAUUGGCUAGUUGGUAAGGUAACGGCUUACCAAGGAAACGAGGCGUAGCCGACUUGAGAGAGUGAUCGGCACACUUGAACCUGGACAAGGUUCCAGAUCCUUACGGGAGGUACAAGGAGGAAUUCUGCAGCAUUGGGCGAAAGCCUGACGAAGCAUCGCGGCGUGAGUGAUGAAGGUCUUCGGUUCGUAAAACUCUGUUAUUAGGGAAGAACAAAUGUGUAUGUAACUAUGCACGUCUUGACGGUACCUAAGCAGAAAGCCACGGUUAACUACUU
rnacentral:rRNA from 1 species